CGGGAUGUGGCCCAGUCCGGUUAAGGCACUCGCUUUGGGAGCGAGGGAUCGCAGGUUCGAAUCCUGCCAUCCCGAC
rnacentral:tRNA from 1 species